CGCUUCUCAUUACAAACAAAUAUUGGUGUGCUAAAAAGUAUAUAUAAAGAAACAUUAGUUCACUUCGAAAGUAUCUAUCAACAUAUAUCAGUCAGUUGAAUAGCAUAUACAGUGUAUAAGCCUGAUCCAAGUUGCAGCCAUGUUGACCGAGGUGCUCCUGGCCAUCCUCUUCUGCUUUUUGGCGUCGCUGGGACUCAAGCGAUACCAGAAGGUGAGGCUGAUGGAGCGCAUACCAGGCCCACCUUCUCUGCCAAUUCUGGGCAACGCCUUGUAUCUCUUAGGAUCCCAUGAACAUUUAUUUAAAACUAUCGUGAACUUCACCAAGUACGGCGACGGCGUCACUCGCAUU